rnacentral:lncRNA from 1 species
UGUAUUGCAUAGUUCUAGAGAUUGGAUUUCACUCACCAAAUGACUCCUCCGACCAUAUUAUACGUUCCCCAAGCUUCGGACUCAAUCCGAUAUCGAUUGGUCCACGACACUGGACAAGUGAAGUUCGUACGAAGUUCUUUUUAAAAUAGGGUGGUCGGUGUAUUGCACAGUUCUAGAGAUUGGAUAUCACUCAAAACACACCAAAUGACUCCUCC